rnacentral:lncRNA from 1 species
CUUUAACAAAAAAACCCAGAAUUUUGAAAUCAGUUUAUCCUAACUCUGAAAAUUACAAUUUUACCCAGAUGUUAAAAAAUUAUAAUUUUAAAAAAAGCCCCAAAUUUGAGAAAUUAAGUUUUUAUCCCAUAUUAAAAAAAAAUAUUUUAAUUGAAUUUGAAUGAAAAAAGAGAAUAUUAUUGGUUACUACUUUCAAUAUUCACGAGAAUUACUAGCUUAGUAUUGCCAAAUGAUCUAAGUUAGUAAAAUUAUGAAUACGAACUAAAUAAAAGAAUUGUUCAAAAAGGGCAAUAUUAAAUACAAUAAUAUUCUAAAUUGAGUCAUAUUAGGAGAAUGAGACUAGCCCAAAGGAGAGUCACAUUUAAAAUAAUUAUGAACUGGUUAGGAGAAAUCUUUUUUUGACUUAGCGAGUUUAUGAAUUGGAUAUCCCAAGGUAGAUGAAUAAUUUGAUAUAAGUUGUACCAUAAUUUAAGGCCUUACAUGGGUGAUUUAUGUACACCCUUAAUUAGUGAAUACUGGAUAUGCUUAGAGUUUGCCCAAAGGAGAAUCUAUGUGAUAAUCCAUAAUUCAUCCUUGUAAGAUUUAUAUUUCUCAAAACUUUAACAAUGAACAUUGUCUAUUUUAUUUCCAGUACUUGUUUCAUUAUUUAGAUUACAUUAUUCUGGAUUAUCAGGUUUUAUUUAGUUGUGGGAAACGCAGUUUGAAUUUUAAUCAAUAAUAUUGAUUUGGUGAUUUAGUGAUGGUUUAUAAAAAUUGCCUUAAAUUCAUGAGUUUGCACAAUUUUUGGUAAAAACCUGCAUUCGAAUUUGGAUCAAAACGUAUAAAAUUAAUAAAAACUCAUCAACCUUGGGCAUAAACGAUUGGUAACAUAUUCUCGGGAUAAAAUUGAAAGAUUGGUGAAGAAUGGAAAUUUUAGAAAAACCUAAACUUCACUGAUUUUAGAUUGUGUGUGGGAUUGCAAUUAAAAAGAAGCAAACCAAACACCCAAAGAAAGGAGCCACAAGAGUAGAUUUUCUUAAAUAAUCACAACUGAUAUUUGGGAAAUUUCCAACCUCCAUGUAUUAUUGGACAAAAAUAUUUUAUCACUUUAUAUAUUACUUCUCACAGUAUGGAUAUUUGUAUUAAUUCAUGAAAAGUCUCAGGCCGUUGACUUCUUGAAGUUUACAUUACUUUGGCCGAGAGACAAUUAAAUAGAAAUAAUAAAAUAGUGAGGUCAGAUAGAGGUGGUAAAAUUUAUGGUAAAUAUGAUGAGUUAAGCCAAAAUCCGGGCCAUUGCCCCAAACUUAUUAGAAAAGUAAGGCAUUCGUGCUCAAUACACAUGCCUGGUUACGCAACAGUAGAAUGGAGUUGUCUGAAAGGCUAAUACGUACACUUAUGGAAUGGUUAGGAAGGGUCUCAUGGCGUUACGAAUGACCCAAUUUUUUGUUGGAGUGGAAGCACUAGCACUUAAAAUCGUAAUGUAUAUCUGAACAGGGUCCUAGAAGGCGGACCCACUACUCCUUUGAGUUGUGACUGGGUAGGAACCCAGUUUGAGCCAUUACAUGUUUGGGGUUGUCAGCGGAGGCUAGUGGUAGAAUCUAUAAUCCAAAAGAAAAGAAAUUAGAUUCUAGAACAAUUUCUCUAGGUAUUUCAUUGGUAUUCAGAAAGUCUAAGGGGUACAGAUUCCUAUGUCCUAACCCAAGUACGAGAAUAGUUGAAAUCGAAAUGCCAAGAUUCUUAGGAUGGCGAAAUAGUGGGAGUGAGAAAUCAAGAAAGGUGCGUUUCGAUUGAAAUAAGAGUGAGAUCCCAAAAGUCUUCCUCGUCGAGAGUUGUCAUCCCAGAAUACCCAGCCGUUGAGGAGAAUGAACAACCGGAAAUAAAUGAUUCUCCACUUAAUGAGGAUACGCUAUUGAAAAUAAUGUAGAACUGACCACAACGGCAGUUUAAGAAAAAUCUUCCAGAGGGAAAAGAAGGUUGCCAUCCCUACUGAUUAUGUGGUGUACUACAAGAAUUGAUUUUGACAUUGGGAUAGGAAAGAUCGAUUUAUUUUCAAGGCCAUUAGUAGUGAGAUUCUACUAAAUAGGUUGAUGGCCAGAAUGAUGAGUUGGAGUUGAAAUCUAUGUGCCAGAAUGAUGUCUGGGAUCUCGUGAAUUGCCUUCUACUGCAGACAAUCAUGUGUAGAUGGGUCUUUAAGACCAAGCGUGAUUCAAAAGGCAAUAUCGAGCGAUAAGCCAGACUUGUGGCUAAGGGUUCACUCAGAAGAAGGUCUUGACUACAAAGAGACUUUUUCUCUAGAUCUAAGACGGACUCCCUUAGAAUCAUUUUGGCCCUGUAACUCAUUCUGACUUAGAGCACCUCCUAUGUGCCUUGUGCAGACAUCCUCGGGAACUUAGUUUCCUGCAUUAUAUAAGGCAGAUAAAGAGCCACAGGCUGAAAUUCUGAGCACCCCCUUGAGGACUGAGGAACUGUGUGUAGAGCUAAGAGAAGAGGAAAAGAGCAUUUACGCUUGCAACUAAAAAAAUAGGAUCAUUUAUGCCUUAAACAAGGCUUCCAGACAAUGGAUUAAAGGUUUAAUGAUCCCAUACCUCCUUCGAAUUAAGAAAAACGCUGUUGUCAUUGUAUAAUCUAAGUCAGUAGGAGUAAGUUUAUUAUUUUUGGUGUUAUAUGUGAUGAUAUUUUGUUAGCUUCAUGAUUCUUGUGUUACAGGAUCAGGGAUAUCUUGCAAAAAUUUAAUGGUCGAUUUAGGUGAGCAUCGUAUGUCAUUGGUAUAAGAUCAUAAGAGAUCGAUUUCGAGGAUUGCUAGGAUUAUCUCGAAGGUUAUAAUCGAUCGGUUUUAAUAGAGAUUUAAAUAUGCAUGGUGCUCAGUAAGUGCUGCACUUAUUGUAAGGGUGACAAGUUAAAUGAAAGACAGUGCCCAAUGAAAUAUUUAGAAAGGUACAGAUGAAAAUAUUCCGUAUGAUUCGCUUUAAGGAGUUUGAUGUAUGCACAAACUUGUAUCAGACCAGACAUUAGCGUGCAGUGGGAUUUUUGGUAAUAUCAAAGCAACCCAGGAAUGGAACACAAAGCACUAAGAGGGUUAUGAGAUACCUUCAAGGACCAAAGCACUACAUGCUCACUUAUAGUAAUCGAUCGUUUGGAAGUAUCGGAACUCAGAUUCGGACUUCGCUGGUGUUUGGAGUACCAACAAAUCAACAUAGGGUUUGUUUUUCUGUUAGCUGGUGGAGCAAUUUCGUGGAAUAGUGUGAAGCAAUCUAUUAUUGCUGCUCCCGAUGGCGGCCGAUGUUGUGGCAUGUUUUUGAGUCACAUUCAUCUUUAUGGUUGCGGAAUUUUCAUCUCAGGACUUGUAAUGGUCAACUUAAUUGCCAGCCGUGACGAUAUAUUGUGACAACUCCACAAUAGUUUUUUCUUCUUUAAGAUGGCAAAGUACUCUAAUGGCUCCAAGCAUAUGGAAGUCAAGUAUUGGUUGUUAGAGAACGAGUCUAGAAACAACAAGUGUCAUUGAGAACAGGAGUACCACCUUAUUAUAGCUGAUCCGCUGACGAAGGGAUUGCCACCAAAGCCAUAUAAAGACAUGUUAUUAGGAUGGUCUUUUGAGCAAUCCAUGAUGUGAAUUUUGAGUGGUCCAUUGUACUCGAACUAAAUGCGCAUUAAUUAGAGUGUUUUUCUGUUUUUCCUGUUUCAUCUAUGUGUGCACAUAUUAUGUUGAAUUUAUUAAAUAUGAAAUUGUCUGACUAUACAAAAUUAUUUGACUUCUUUAGGGAAUGUAUCCUAAAGUUACUGGUACUUUUCCAUUAUGCACAGGUUAGUAAAGUUAUCAACGUGUAGUGCAUAGAAGGAAGUAUGGCUAAAAUGCCAUACAACCUCUUAUGACUCACAUUGGUGAUCUGAAGUACUACAGAUUGUGUAAUUAUUGGACCCUAUUGGCUGAUUUAUGAAAAAUUUGUGAUCACGUUUAAAGUUUUUAAAACUAUGGAGUUUCCUGAGUCAUUAAAAAAAAAAUUGCAUAUUUAAAAAAAAAAAUACAUUUCAACCAACUUGGCUAUGGGCCAAGUGGAAAAUGUUAUUUCACGUAUUAAAUGGCCCACUAGUCUCCAGUUUUUAGGUAUCUGUUAUAACUCAAACUCCAUAUAAUAAGACAUUAAAAGAUAAGGUUCAAGCUAUUAUAUUUAAAUGAAAACUCUUUUUAUGAUAAAAGAUACCGUCAUGGAUAGAAUUCCUGUAGGAGUAUAUCUUUAGCCCUCUUCUCUCCUCUAUAAAAAGGAUAGGAUCCCACCCUUUUUACCUGUUUCUUUUCAUCAAUUUAUGAAUAGUUGGUUAUCCUUUAGAUUAGAGACAGAGAAGAAGAGGUGAGCUAAGAAAUUAAAGUAUUCAAUUAAGGGGUUCAUGCAUUGAUAUAUUGGCCAAUAAAGGUAUGAAUCUACUCCAUUAAUUAUUGUAUAGAAUAAUUAUUUUUAUAGUGGUAUUUGAAUUCAAGAUCCUAUUCGUUUUUAAUUUUCGCAUAAUAGUUUAACCGAAUUAAUUUUUAUGACUUACAAAUUAUAUCUACAAAAAAAAUAUUAUAUUUAAUGAAUAUGCGAGGACUGUUAGUUGCUAGUAAAAACUAAGUUUUUUGCAAAAUAAGUCUUGAGAGAAAACUAUUCGUUUAGGAAAGUUAAGAAUAAGAAUCUCACAAUUUUUUUCUACCUAAAUAUUUUUAAAAAUACAGAUAAUCAAGAUUUUUUUAUUAUUUUCCUUUAUUUUGACAACUAAACACUACCAAAAGUUAAAAAUAAAAAAAAGAGUUAUAUAGAGUGAAUAUAUGCUUAAGGAUGAAAAUUAAUAAAUUACAAUGAAUAACGGCAACAAAGGCUGCAGAGUGUCCGGGCAUAAAUUUCCUAGCAAAGAGGAACACAUUGAUGUGGACAUUCCAUUGUAGUACAAUGAAUACCAACCUUAUUUUAUCCAAAAACUCAACCGAAACAGCUUGCCUUACAAAUUUCCCAGGGUGUGGACCGUCGCGAACCAACCAAUCGACCCAAGUA